CCUACGGGAGGCUGCAGUAGGGAAUCUUCCACAAUGGGCGAAAGCCUGAUGGAGCAACGCCGCGUGGGUGAAGAAGGUCUUCGGAUCGUAAAACCCUGUUGUUAGAGAAGAAAGUGCGUGAGAGUAACUGUUCACGUUUCGACGGUAUCUAACCAGAAAGCCACGGCUAACUACGUGCCAGCAGCCGCGGUAAUACGUAGGUGGCAAGCGUUAUCCGGAUUUAUUGGGCGUAAAGGGAACGCAGGCGGUCUUUUAAGUCUGAUGUGAAAGCCUUCGGCUUAACCGGAGUAGUGCAUUGGAAACUGGGAGACGUGAGUGCAGAAGAGGAGAGUGGAACUCCAUGUGUAGCGGUGAAAUGCGUAGAUAUAUGGAAGAACACCAGUGGCGAAAGCGGCUCUCUGGUCUGUAACUGACGCUGAGGUUCGAAAGCGUGGGUAGCAAACAGGAUUAGAUACCCCUGUAGU
rnacentral:rRNA from 1 species